rnacentral:rRNA from 1 species
GAUGAACGCUGGCGGCGUGCCUAAUACAUGCAAGUCGAGCGAACAGACGAGGAGCUUGCUCCUCUGACGUUAGCGGCGGACGGGUGAGUAACACGUGGAUAACCUACCUAUAAGACUGGGAUAACUUCGGGAAACCGGAGCUAAUACCGGAUAAUAUAUUGAACCGCAUGGUUCAAUCGUGAAAUACGGUUUUGCUUUCACUUAUAGCUUGAUCCGCGCCGCAUUAGCUAGUUGGUAAGGUAACUGCUUACCAAGGCAACGAUGCGUACCCGACCUGAGAGGGUGAUCGGCCACACUGGAACUGAGACACGGUCCAGACUCCUACGGGAGGCAGCAGUAGGGAAUCUUCCGCAAUGGGCGAAAGCCUGACGGAGCAACGCCGCGUGAGUGAUGAAGGUCUUCGGAUCGUAAAACUCUGUUAUUAGGGAAGAACAAAUGUGUAAGUAACUAUGCACGUCUUGACGGUACCGAAUCAGAAAGCCACGGCUAACUACGUG